rnacentral:lncRNA from 1 species
AACAAAUACUCAGUGAGGAGGUGUGACUGAGUCUGUAGUUUAAAUCAUGGCAUAAUUUGAUUUGUGUGUUUAUCUUUGUGGCCUUAGAUCACUGUGUUCCUAUUGAAUCUUUAAGAAAAACCCAAAACAGUUAAGAGGGAAAGACUUUUGCAAGUGCUGUAGUGCAAAAAAUAUGUAACAAGGAGAAGAGCCUUAAGCAUCUGUUUUGGAAGCUGGUUUCAAACUUAAUCCACUAAAUUUACCUUUUAUUUCUAUUGUUAUAACUAUCAAACACACACUGUGCUCCUGAUAGAAAUGCUCUAAACUUCCUUUAAAAUUUUUCCAGAGUGCCUAUUAUUUUAUUCUUGCUUGACUAUUUAUAGCAGCAUAAAUCCUAAAUAACAGGAGAUGCUCAAAGCUACCAUCUACCAAACUUAACAACCCGUGCUAAUUGUUACUUGGAAGCCACCUUCUUGACUUUCUGAAAAAUGGCACAUAAAAUGAGCAGGAAAUCACUUUUAUUGUCUUUCACAUGGCUGUAAAACAUGCAUGUGUGAUGGAGACCAGCAAUCAGAUUAGGUUCUUAAGAGGAGGGCAGCGUCACUCCUUGCUCUUAUGAAAAUCUCCCAAGCAUAACUCAACUUUGAUCCAUCAUUGACUGAGCAAAUUGCACGUUCACGGGGGAAUUUGGAUGCCUGGAUGUUGCUGCAGUGAGAAGUGGCACAAAAGACCUCAAGACCAAAAAGAACAGUUGUGUUUCUCUGGAAACAGGAGAAGUGGUUUGGUUCAGAAGCCAGCACAAGGUUUUCAGGAAUGGUCUCCACGGGAAUAAUCCUGCUCUGAGUCAGUCCAGCAGCAGUAGCAGAGUAACUGGGCACAUCCUGAGUGCCUCUGGAAGAACAGUUCUGGGACACAGGAGCAAAGAGAGCCUUCAAAAGCCAGGAAAGAGGAAGCAUCAGCCCAGCCCAGGGUGCUGUUUGUAGAAGCACUUAGCAGCAGAUGUCUGCAGGAUAAUUUUAGACCAGCAGAGCAUCUGGUGAUGCUUUCCAACAAUAUUCUUCCAUCUCUGAAACUGCUUCCC